rnacentral:rRNA from 1 species
AUUGAACGCUGGCGGCAGGCUUAACACAUGCAAGUCGAGCGGGGGAGGUUGCUUCGGUAACUGACCUAGCGGCGGACGGGUGAGUAAUGCUUAGGAAUCUGCCUAUUAGUGGGGGACAACAUUCCGAAAGGAAUGCUAAUACCGCAUACGCCCUACGGGGGAAAGCAGGGGACCUUCGGACCUUGCGCUAAUAGAUGAGCCUAAGUCGGAUUAGCUAGUUGGUGGGGUAAAGGCCUACCAAGGCGACGAUCUGUAGCGGGUCUGAGAGGAUGAUCAGUCACACCGGAACUGAGACACGGUCCGGACUCCUACGGGAGGCAGCAGUGGGGAAUAUUGGACAAUGGGCGCAAGCCUGAUCCAGCAAUGCCGCGUGUGUGAAGAAGGCCUUCGGGUUGUAAAGCACUUUAGCCUGGAAAGAAAAAACUUUGGUUAACACCCAAAGUCUUGACGGUACCAGGAGAAUAAGCACCGGCUAACUCUGUGCCAGCCGCCGCAGUAAUAC